AACGAACGCUGGCGGCAUGCCUAACACAUGCAAGUCGAACGAGACCUUCCGGUCUAGUGGCGCACGGGUGCGUAACGCGUGGGAACCUGCCCUUAGGUUCGGAAUAACUCCCCGAAAGGGGUGCGAAUACCGGAUAAUGUCUUCGGACCAAAGAUUUAUCGCCUUUGGAUGGGCCCGCGUUGGAUUAGCUAGUUGGUAGGGUAAAAGCCUACCAAGGCGACGAUCCAUAGCUGGUCUGAGAGGAUGAUCAGCCACACUGGGACUGAGACACGGCCCAGACUCCUACGGGAGGCAGCAGUGGGGAAUAUUGGACAAUGGGCGAAAGCCUGAUCCAGCAAUGCCGCGUGAGUGAUGAAGGCCUUAGGGUUGUAAAGCUCUUUUACCCGGGAUGAUAAUGACAGUACCGGGAGAAUAAGCUCCGGCUAACUCCGUG
rnacentral:rRNA from 1 species